UCGGAUCACUCUCUCUCCUCUCUCUUCAGGGUUUUAGUCGCCUCCUCCUCCUCCUCUCUCUCUAGGGUUUUGCGAUGGAUUCCCUCUGUAAAUCCUCGUUCCAUUCAAACCCUAGCCUCUCGCUCUCCGUCCUCCCAUCUCGAUCUUCCUUCCUCAAGCCCCAGUUCUCUCUUCCCCUAAAACCCUCCUCCUCCAAAACCCUAACCCUGAUCACCACCCGCGCUUCACGAAACCCAAACCCUAACCCUAGCUCCAAUCCAACCCAAACCCUAAUCUCCACCGUCGUCAAGCCCGCCCUCAUCGGCUCCCCCAACUGCUCCACAAUCUGAAACCCUAAUCGGCGAGCUCAACGAGCAAACCCUAGAAUCCCGCCUCCAGUCCAACCCCGCCGAUGUCACCUCCCUCCGAUCCCUAAUGGAGCUCAAAGUCAGAUCCCGCAAGCUCCCUGAGGCCAUCACCAUUGCUGAUCGACUGAUCGAGCUCGAGCCCGGCGAAAAUGACAUUCCUAUUCUCAAAGCCCACCUUCAGAGCUACAAUGGAGAGACUGAGUCUGCAAAAUUAGGGUUUGAAGAGAUCCUAUCCAAAAACCCUUAUCUUGUUGAAGCUUAUCAUGGGCUUAUUACGAUGGUGUCACAAUCGGGGGCUGAUGGGGAAUUGAAUGAGAUUUUGAAGAGGGUUGAGGAUGCAAUGGCAAUGUGUAAGAAGGAGCAAAGGAAAGCGGAGUUGAAGGAUUUUAAGCUGUUGAUUGCUCAGGUUAGAGUGAUAGAAGGGAAAUAUGCGGAGGCUUUGGAGAUUUAUGAAGAGUUGGUUAAGGAGGAACCGAGGGAUUUUAGGCCGUAUUUAUGUCAAGGGAUUAUAUAUACUUUGAUGAGGAAGAAGGAUGAGGCGGCAAAACAGUUUGAAAAGUAUAGGAAGCUUGUGCCAAAGGGGCAUCCUUACGCUCAGUUCUUUGAUAAUAAUAUGGGCAUGAUGAAGGGGUUCUCAGCCAUGGAGUAGAGUGGAAGAGUGGAGGUUUAUUUUUAAGAAUGAGAAAUUUGAGGAGAUGCUCGUGGAAGUGCAAUUCAUCAUCAUCUUUUACUUCAUAAAAUCUGAACAGGUUCUUGUUUGUCAAUAUCUGUUUAUUUUAUGUUGCUCUACUGAAGAGGUUUCAGUAACUUGCAAAUUGCAUCCUGCCUACCUACUCCAACUGGCUUUUGGGAAAAUUUGGCCCAUCUUCUUAAUUCAGUCAUAGCUGGGAUCUGCUCACCCCCCAGCUCAGUGCUGAACAACAGAAAGCUUAGUUUGAUGAGAUCUACCCUAUACAAGGGUGCUCGGUACUGGUAUUUUCUGGUUGCAGGAAUAAAUUUUCAUCAUUUCAUAUCAAACUGAUGAAGCCAUGCAUGGGGCCGAGCUUUUUAUCUGGGAAGUGAUACUUAAUUUAUCAUCUUUUUUUUCCUCCCUCUUUGUAAGGUCAAGUAGCAAAAUUUUAUGAAGGUUUCUUGUUUAAUGAUAUAAUAGUCUUGGUUUCGCUCGCCAUUUAAUUCCCGAGUGUGAGCAUUUAUAGUUAUGUAGUUGCCUUGUUUGGAAUUAAUUUUGCUGAACAAAAGAGCAAGUGACAUGGAUGCAGGAAGAUCAAGGCUCA